rnacentral:rRNA from 1 species
GACGAACGCUGGCGGCGUGGAUUAGGCAUGCAAGUCGGACGGUAGGGCUUUAUCGUAAGAUAGAGUUUGAGAGUGGCGAACGGGUGAGUAACACGUAGGAAUCUACCCUUAAGACGGGGACAACCCAGGGAAACUUGGGCUAAUACCGGAUGAGAGUGCGAGAGAUUGCAUUUAAAAGGAUGGCGAAAGUUGUCGCUUAGGGAUGAGCCUGCGGUCUAUUAGUUAGUUGGUGAGGUAAGAGCUCACCAAGGCGAUGAUAGAUAGGCGGCCUUAACGGGUGGUCGCCCACACUGGGAUUGAGAUACGGCCCAGACUCCUACGGGAGGCAGCAGUCGAGAAUAGUCUACAAUGGCCGGAAGGCUGAUAGUGCGACGCCGCGUGAACGAGGGAGCCUCGGGUGUAAGUUCUUUAUAUGUGAGCAGUGCUUCUUAUUAUUAACAGUAUGGGGAGAGAGAUAUUAGCAUAUGAAUAAGCAACGGCUAACUCCGUGCCAGCAGCCG